GUGCCAGCAGCCGCGGUAAUACGGAGGGUCCGAGCGUUAUCCGGAAUCAUUGGGUUUAAAGGGUCCGUAGGCGGGCCAUUAAGUCAGGGGUGAAAGUCUGCAGCUCAACUGUAGAAUUGCCUUUGAUACUGGUGGUCUUGAGUCGUUGUGAAGUGGCCGGAACAUGUGGUGUAGCGGUGAAAUGCAUAGAUAUCACAUAGAACACCGAUUGCGAAGGCAGGUCACUAACAACGUACUGACGCUGAUGGACGAAAGCGUGGGUAGCGAACGGGAUUAGAUACCCCGGUAGUCCACGCCGUAAACGAUGGAUACUAGCUGUCGGGACUUCGGUCUCGGCGGCCAAGCGAAAGUGAUAAGUAUCCCACCUGGGGAGUACGUUCGCAAGAAUGAAACUCAAAGGAAUUGACGGGGACCCG
rnacentral:rRNA from 1 species